GCGGGUGUGUCAACGACAACGAUCAGCUAUGCCACCCAAGAAGAAGAAAGGGGACAUACGAAGCUUUUUCAUAAAGCAGAGUGAAAGACAGCAUCAAACCACUACAGAUGGAUGGCAGGUUGAGGAAACAGCAUCAGGGCUUCAGGUGAGGUUCUAAUUAUUAGCCUAUGUCAAAUUGUCAAUUCAGUUGGAGUUAGCAGCAUUGCUGUACAAUAUAAUGAGAUGGAGUAGAUUCACUUCUGUAUUGUGA